UCAAACGCUCUUCUCAGACCCCUUCUCACCCUCUCUCAUCCUCCGCCGCCCGCCGGGAAUCGCCCACAACGGCGGGCCACCUCCAAACACCACCAAAACAUCACCAAACAAUCACCAUUCUUCCCGCAUGCCUCCCAUACCUUCAAUUUCCCCAGAAAACCACCCAAACUCCCCAAUUAGUAGAUCUAGGAAGGUAUUAAAGCCUAAUCUGUCCCCUUUUCGAUUUCUAGGCCUUUUUCAAUUCGUCUUGACUUGAAACUUACGUUGAUCGAUUUCUCUUGACGAGUGUAAUCGAUUGACGUUAGUUUUAGCUCACUUCGAAGUCGCCGGAGUCCGGUCAAACACCGUUGACCAGCCAGAAUUCAGUCGCCAAUGUUUGAUUCGAGUUUCUUCAAGAAGAAAUUGCUGUUUCUGCUGUUCACUGUAGCCGAGCUUGGUUCUUUGGAGUCCAGACCUUUAUUUGGUCAUUUCUCUACUGUUUUCUGCUUUUAGGUAUGUAAAUCUUCAUCUGUAUUCUCUUCUCUGAAUCUAUGGAUGACACAUUGAUUUGUUCAUGAUGCGUUUAUACCUAAUUUCCUGGAUUCAGUUUGCCUAAUCCUGAAACUUGCUUGUAUUCCUUUUCUACUUGCUUGUAUUCCUUUUCUGAUCAAUACUUAAUGCUGCAAAUGUGAUUCAGUUGAGAAUUUCAGUAGUUGGAUAGUUUAUUGAUUAGAAGCGAGAAAAUUGAAACUCUGUCAAUGAUUAUGAAUCUGUGAGAUUGAUUAAAACUCGUUUGAGCUCAUGUGAUUGUUUGUAUUGAAAGUCAUGCCACGCAGGUAUAAUCUUCAAUUAAGUCGUAUGCAUCAGUUGGAUGUUUGAAUCCUGUGAUUAUCUUAAGGCUGCUGAAGUUCAUCUUAUGAUAGCUUGAUAUUGAAGUUAGAAUGUAGAACUAGUGAGUUACAGCUUAUGGUUUGUAUACACACGUGUGGUCUGUAUUUUUAAUUUCAGUUGUUAUGGCAUUAAAUUUGUAAUCAUCUAGUCUUAAUCUGAAUUUCCUACUAGGUGGUUAGUUCAUGCUAUAAAAUUGGUCGAGCACGUAUACAUUGCUAUAAUUUCACGCUAAGAACAACUGGAAUAACUAAUCCCCAACAAUAAUUGAUUAGGGUAAUGUUUCCCUUUUAGAGCUUUGAUAUAAUAAAAUAGUCAUGUAGGGUUUUUGUCUAA